GCAGGUGUAGUUUAAUGGUAGAACUUCAGCCUUCCAAGCUGACUGUGAGGGUUCGAUUCCCUUCACCUGCU
rfam:Spiroplasma melliferum KC3 contig4, whole genome shotgun sequence.